GAUUACUUUUUUCAUAAAAUUUGAUUUUUUUUUUUAACUAAUAUCUCAGUGAUACUUAAUAGAAUAAAAUAUCAAACAUUUUUGAUUAGUAAUUUUAUGAAUUAUAUCAGACUGAAUAAUAAAUUGAAAACACAGUUAAAAAUAUAUUAUUAUGAAAUUAGUUAAUAAUUGAUUUAAUUAUUUAAUUUGAUGAUUAAGAAUACUAAAAAAUAUAAAAAAUUGAUUGAAUAUGUCAAAUCAGUAUUGCUAUUUUAUUCUGUUACGGUCCACUGUAAUCUCUUGGCGUAUCAUGCGUACACCACGCAUGUAUACGUCACAUGCGUGACGUCAUUCACACGCGUCGACGUGCGUAAACGUGCCCUCUUUUUCCUGUGAUCUCUGAUUGGCUCGCUUCCAGUGCUCAAUGAAGUUCUAAGAGACUUUUUGAAACUACCGAAAACCAUAAAGCGUCUUUCGGUAAUGUAAAAAAAAAAUAAAAAAUAAAAAAGAAUGCAUUAAUACUAUAUCUAUCGCAUUAUCGCAUUAAAAAGCAUAAGCGUUUAACUUAUAUCUUAACAACUAAUUUAUAUCAAAACGUAAAAAUUAAGUAUAAUGAUAAAUUAUUUUGCAAUAAUAAAAUAUACGAUUCUUGGAAUUUUGCGAAUAUACAUAAUAUUGUAAAUUUAAAAUAUUAAUUUUUAAUGAAUAUAUGAUUACAUUCUAUUUUGUCUGGUUAUUUUAUAAAUAACAAUUCUUGACCGGACUGUUAGAUGAAAGCUGUAUCGUGAAAGAUACUGUUCCGUGAUAACCCUGAUUUAACUAACUUAUCGUUUAACCUUGAAAGUUUACUACUGCAAUAUAUAUGUUGCAAAAGCCACUUUGAUGUCUGAUCAGUACCGGUCCCAUCGUAAAUUGUGCGCGCGAACUGUAUCCGCUUUUGUGUAUGUGUUUGAAAUUAAUUUCUAUAUCGCUAUGAAUAGAAGAAUGCAGCGUAGCUGACGUUCGAUAAGAUAAGCAAAUCUGUGAUAUUGUGCUUAAAGGGAUUUUAAAUCAUUUAUAAAGAUUAUAUAUAAUUUUUGUUAUAUUAUUACAUAUUUAUAUUUAUCUUGUAUUUUUUCAUUUCAAUUGUUUAUAUUUUUUUUUUAAAGAUUAUUCGACACAAGAAAGAUGAAUAGUUGUUUAUUAUAAAAAAUCAAAUAAGUUGAUAUGUGAAAAUUAAAUAAAUUGAACAUCUUUGAAUUUAAAUAUUAAAUUAAAAUUUUUAUUAGAUAAUUAUUAGAUAAAAUGUUAUUGGUAACUAUCAUAAUAAUAUUUUAAUGAUAAUGCAAAAGUUUGAUUAAGAAUCGAAAAGUCAUUCGAUGUCUAACGCCGCCUAGUUAUUUUUCUUGUUGACGAAAAAUUAAAAUACUUGUUUUAUCUUCGAAAAUGAUAGCAGUUGAUUUAUGACAAUUUAAAAUUGAAUUUACAAUUAUUCAAUAUUGUAAUGUUUUUCCUCAUUUCGUUCAUUAUAUGCAAUUCAGUGAUUUGUUCAUAAUUUUUUUUCUGUACAUAUUUACUUAUUAUUGCCAAGUUUUUAUCGUAUUCCUUAUUUGUUUUCGAAUUUUCAAAAUCAGUUUUAUUUUUUGUUUGCUAUACUUUCUUUUUUUACGUGUAUCAAGUAUUUAUUUAGUUUAAAAUUUUUCAAGUUUUUUUUUUUCAUAUUAUUUCGGCAGAAAUAAAAUGUAUGAUUUUUAUGAGAAAAUUAUUCAUUAAUAAAAGGAUGAAUUUUGAUAUAUUCAUAUAUUUUUAAUUGAUGACAAAAUAAUGGAAUAAUAUGAAUAUUAUUAAUAUAGUGAUAAAUAAGAACUGAAUAUUGAAAGGAAACGAAUUCCUUCGAAUCUUGCUUUUAAAAAGCAUUGAGGAAAGACAAUCCAUAAAAAGAUACAAUUAUCAUUUAACCCGUUCGGUCGGUAAGAGCGAAACGGAAAUGGUGAAACGGGCUCUCGGAGAACAGGGAGCCACUCUGCGUUCACUCGGUGGGUAAUGAAGCGGGUGAACACAGCUGGUGGUAUCUCAGUUUUCUGAGGGCGUUAGCAGCCCAUUGAUUUACCUGCUGAUUCCCUAUGAUGAUUUUAUGGAAGAAAAAUGUGAUAUAGUAAUAACAAAAUCAUAAAAAAUAUUAAGGAAACUAUAUAAAAUAUAAAAUUCUAUUUAGUAUUUAUAAAAUUAUAUAAUUAUUUUAUAUUCAAAAAUUUAUGAAUAUGAAUAUAUGAAGUUGUAAUAAAUGCUAGUUUCGUUUUAAGUAAUAUAUAGAUAUAUCAUGGAUUAUAAACGUUAAAUAUUUACAUUAUCAUAUAGAUUAUAUAUCGAUAUUAGCUAUUCGUAGAUAAGCAAAGCUAAGAAUUAUUCGGAUAUUUUAUAAUACGAUUGGUUUUAAAUUCAAAUAACGUGGCCCACCGCGAUACGUCGCUAUAUGAUAUCAUCAGUCUAUUAAAUAGGGGCGUGACAGGUGGGAAAUGAAUUAUUGAUCGGGGUCACUAGAAACCCUCAAAUGGAUACAAUUAAUCCUCUAGUUCACCAAACAACGUAUAAGUACACUCGAUGUUAUCAUAGUAUUGGUGUGUUUCUAAAGAUGAAAGUGAUCUCCAAUACGACGUAUUUCAUUCUAAUCGAAAUUAAUCUCAAAUUAUUCAGAUAAAAAGUAUUUAAUAAAUUAAAUAUUUACUAUUUUAAGAAAUGAAAAAUUGAAAUAUGAAAAUCGUAACCAAAGUAACGAUUUUAUUCAAAAUGCAAUUAAUUUAAAAAAUUCAUAAAAGUUUUGAUUUAUUUCGCAAGUGCGCAUGCGCGAACGCCAUAGAUCGUAUAUUUGAAGUAGUUCAUGGUGCGCGACACGCCAGGAUGCGCACAAGGUCGGCCGGGCUGUCAAAAUCAGCUGACUCUCGGGUGACCAAUCAGCUGAUUCCUUCAACUUCUCAGCAGGAGACUUUCCUUCUGACUUCGAAGACUUAGAGGGCGCUACUUUACGAUUAGAAUUCUGAAUCAAUUAUUUCAAUUCUUUUUAUUUCUCCUUUUUUCAAAAUCAAUUUUUCUUAAAUCAAUUGUCUUUUAAACUAAUUUGAUUGUUCAUUUAAUUUAAUUGAUAAUUAAAAUUUAUAAUUAAAUUUUAAUGAUUGAAAAAUUGGAAAAUUUAUUUGAAUUGAAAUUUAAUACAAUUAUUUCUCUUAGUUAGAAAAUAAAAAAUUUAAUAAAUUUUCUUAUUAAAAGUUAAUAUAAUUAGAAACCACAUUAAAGAUCUUAUUAUGCUUUCAUUAAAUCAUUAAAAUGUGUUAAUUGUUAGUACUUAUUUUGACAUCAUCAUUUCCAUUGUUAUGAUUAAAUAUCCUAUAACAAAAAAUACAUAUUUAUCAUGGAAAUAAAUUUGAUUUCUGAUAAUUAAGUAUUCAUCGUUUAGAAUAAUUAAAAAUAGAAAUCCGAGUGACUUGAAGGACUUAUCAUUCAUAGUGAAACAAUAGACUCAUGAUGUGAAAAGUACUAUUCAAUGCUUCGAUAAUUAAGCGUUAUCUUUUACUGAUGCAUUGAAAAUUCUGCGCUGGAAAUAAUGCAUUGACGAUGUAUACCAUAGUUUCUGUUAUCUACAAUGCAAGCAGUAACGCACAUUAUAUAGUAUGUGUACAUUCACUGUUUUGAUAAUUAUAUCACGAUAGUGUAAUUGGAAUAAUUGCUUCGCGUUAUUCUGAUUAAAUCUUAAUGAACUCUCAGUUUCUCUGUCUGUGAUCAGCUUAUGACAAUCAACUGAAAUAGAUUAUGUUUGUUAAGUAACAAUUGUUUUUGAGUCAGAAUUUUCUGGUUUUAAGAUGUUAUUAUAGAUUUUUUUCUGAUGCUUUUUAUAAUACAAAUAAAUUUAAAAUCAAGAAAAAUUUUUAACAUCAAGAAAUAUUAUUUGCUCAAAUAUAAUAUAUUUAUAUUUCUCAACAAAUUUCAAUUCUUAUAUUGUAUAAAAAUUUAUCCAAUAAAAUUUAUUUCAUGAAUUUAUAAGAAAUAUAGUAAAGAUGUAUAUAGUUCAACAAACAAGAUCAACAGUAUCACAACUUUAGGUAGACUAAAUUCAAGGUUUCUGCACCUAAAAGGUUUUAAUGCAUUGUAUUAUAUAUCUUAUUAGAAUUCUAGUCUAUAAAACACAGGGUCAUUCGACUUACAAAUCAUUGAAUCCCCAAAAACAUCAAGAUAAUAAUUAGCCAUUAAAUAUGAUUCGAAACAGUAAUUUGAUAUUUAUAGUGGAAAUAAAGUAUUCAUUUUUUUUAGAAUAUUUAAAGUCUACAUGUAUAGUAAUAUAUUAUUAUUUAUGUGAAAAAUAAAAAUUAAAAAUACAUAAUUCAUAUGUAUAUACGUAAUUUAUAUUGAAUAUUUUUAAAAUCUUUUAAUUAAAAAUGAAUAAAAAUCAAUAUCCAAAAUAAAUAAAAGUACUUUUCAAAUCAUAAUUUCGCAAAUGAAUUUUAUAACCUGACUUUCAAGAUAUAUUUAUAUUUCUCUGUAGUAUAUCCGAGUACAGCUAACUCACUCAUCGCAGUUAUUUUAAUUUACGAUUUCAUUAUGUAUCGCAUCUAUCAACUACGUUCAAUAUAUAUCGAAGUAAAAUCGCUAUAUAUACUUAAAUUUCAAAAUUCAGAGGAUACAUUAUAUAAAAAAAUUAUUAAUUUUAUUUCUAUAUAUUUUUACAAUAUUUUGUAAUUUUUGAAGAAACGUAACAAAUGUCUUAAAAUUUUUUGAACGGUGCUGUGUAUAGAUCUAGCAGAUUUUUCAGUACAUAUGCAUAGAAUAGAGAAUCAAAGUGAAUAUAUUUGUCCUGAUGUUGUAAAUAUAUCCGCGCAACUUGGCGGAAAAUUUAACCGCCACGUCAUUCGAAGUUGCGUUCCGAGAAAACUCGCGCGAGCGCGGCAAAGAGGGAGUGCGACGAACGCUGUAAAAACGUCGCGUUGCGGCUCGUGAAAAAGGGUGGUCAAGGGGGACGUGGGGAAAGAAAUUACAUAAGAUGCGCGUUGGGACGACGGGAAUUGCAGCAUGCCUUUUUGGCAGGAAGAAACGUUUUCAUUCCGUCUAAUGAGCACGUUCGUCUUUCGUGUGUUAUCGAUGAGUUUUUCCUAUGCAGGAGCGUACAUAAAUUUAUUAAAUGAUCCCAACGGUGAAAUUAACAGUGCAUUGAUUUUUGAAUUUGAAAAAAUAAUAGAAAAAAGAUGAUGAAAAUUUUCAGAAUAAUUGGAACGAAAGAAAAGCAAUUAAUGAAGAGAUGCACUAAUAUUUCGUACGUUAGUGGUCAACUCGUAGCCUUGUACUCUAGAAGCACUAUGUACAUUGCAUAUAGACUGUUUGGAAGAGCGGAAAGAGGAAGGCAAUGCAUCGUCACGUAAUGCAAGCAUUAUGCAAUCUCGACCACUUAACAACAGCUGAUCACAUUUUUAACUUGCAUAAUUUUUUACAGCUACCAUGUAUAAAGAAUAAGAUUAUAUAUUAAUUUAAAAAAGUUAUAAAAAUAUUUUUUCACGCAUGAAAUAAAAUUUCAAUCGAAA